rnacentral:rRNA from 1 species
UACGGAGGGGGCUAGCGUUGUUCGGAAUUACUGGGCGUAAAGCGCACGUAGGCGGAUUGGAAAGUCAGAGGUGAAAUCCCAGGGCUCAACCUUGGAACUGCCUUUGAAACUCCCAGUCUUGAGUUCGAGAGAGGUGAGUGGAAUUCCCAGUGUAGUGGUGAAAUACGUAGAGAUUGGGAAGAACACCAGUGGCGAAGGCGACUCACUGGCCCGAUACUGACGCUGAGGCGCGAAAGCGUGGGGAGCAAACAGG